UAAGAGUUGUGUAUAAUCCAGAGCCAGGAUCAAACAUGCAAGAAAUUUACACCCUUUGGUGGAGGGUCUAGAUGCUGUCCAGGAUCUGAACUUGCCAAGGUUGAAGUUGCAUUCUUCCUUCACCACCUAGUACAAAAUUUCAGAUGGGAAAAUGAAGAGGAAGACCAACCCAUUGCAUUUCCUUACGUGGAAUUUCAAAGAGGGCUUGUGCUAAAUGUGGAACGUUUGUUCGAGGUUGAGAAGAAGCGCCAAUAAUGCCCCAUCCAUCAUGGUUUGGAAUUUUAUGGGCUUUUACACUUUCGUUAGUUUGGAGGAAGCUUGGGCUCUUUCUGAGGCCUGCUAAAUUGAAAAGAUGUUGUAGGCUUUGGUACAUAAUAAUAAAUAAUAAUUGAAACGUCUAUGAACUAA